rnacentral:rRNA from 1 species
UACAGAGGGUGCGAGCGUUGUCCGGAAUCACUGGGCGUAAAGGGCGCGUAGGCGGCUUGAUAAGGUUGCGGUGAAAGCCCGGGGCUCAACCCCGGGUCGGCCGUGGCAACUGUCGAGCUGGAGCACUGUAGAGGCAGGUGGAAUUCCGGGUGUAGCGGUGGAAUGCGUAGAGAUCCGGAAGAACACCGGUGGCGAAGGCGGCCUGCUGGGCAGUGGCUGACGCUGAGGCGCGACAGCGUGGGGGAGCAAACAGGG